UACGGAGGAUCCGAGCGUUAUCCGGAUUUAUUGGGUUUAAAGGGUGCGCAGGCGGAAGAUUAAGUCGGUGGUGAAAUUUUGCAGCUCAACUGUAAAAGUGCCUUCGAAACUGGUUUCCUUGAGUGUAGAUGAAGUAGGCGGAAUUUGUGGUGUAGCGGUGAAAUGCAUAGAUAUCACGAGGAACUCCGAUUGCGCAGGCAGCUUACUAAACUACUACUGACGCUCAGGCACGAAGGCGUGGGGAUCAAACAGGAUUAGAUACCCCCGUAGUCCCU
rnacentral:rRNA from 1 species